UGAAACAGCAGUAAUGUCUGCUUUCCCAUUUUCAGCAGACGAAAACUGCUGUUUAGCAAACACGUUUGCUGUUUUGAAUAACAAAUUUGGUUGUGUGUGCCGCACCUAUUCUGCAUAACUUCAGCUGGAUGUAGUUGCGAUUGUCCUGAAAUUUGGAAAAGCGGGUUCCACUUACUAUCGUGGAAGAAGUCCAAUGUUUCCCAGUGAUCACGAUUCUAUUUGAUUUAUUUUUUAACAAUAAGUCGUUUUUUUUUUCUUGGGACAACCUGGGAUGUUUGGCUGCCUACUUUGCGUGAAGAACGCUGUGGUGUGGACAUCACAAGCCUUCCAUCAAUAAAGUAAAAUUUUAUUUAAUCACCAA
rnacentral:sRNA from 1 species